GUGAGCGGCCGGGCGGGUCACCGGGAACUCCGGAGGAAGGUCCUCCCCCGAGGGGGGCGUCCGCGACGCCGCGAGGCGUGUGGGGAGGCCCACGGCAACGCCGCAGAAACGACACCGCCCCGCAGCCGUGGCCAUGAGUCGGGGAAAAGCCGACGAGGAGCUGCGGGGAAAGGUUGAAACGGGCGGCCCGCGGCGGGAAAGGCUGUCGGACGAUGAGCAGCCUCCCCGAGUCCGGCAGAAACCGAUGAGAUAAAUCCCGCCUAAACAGAAGGAGGACUACGAGCCGCACAC
rnacentral:RNase_P_RNA from 1 species